GACGAACGCUGGCGGCGUGCUUAACACAUGCAAGUCGAACGGAAAGGCCCUGCUUUUGUGGGGUGCUCGAGUGGCGAACGGGUGAGUAACACGUGAGUAACCUGCCCUGGACUUUGGGAUAACUUCAGGAAACUGGGGCUAAUACCGGAUAGGAGCUCCUGCUGCAUGGUGGGGGUUGGAAAGUUUCGGCGGAUGGGGAUGGACUCGCGGCUUAUCAGCUUGUUGGUGGGGUAGUGGCUUACCAAGGCUGUGACGGGUAGCCGGCCUGAGAGGGUGACCGGCCACAUUGGGACUGAGAUACGGCCCAGACUGCUACGGGAGGCAGCAGUGGGGAAUAUUGCACAAUGGGCGGAAGCCUGAUGCAGCAACGCCGCGUGCGGGAUGACGGCCUUCGGGUUGUAAACCGCUUUCGCCUGUGACGAAGCGUGAGUGACGGUAAUGGGUAAAGAAGCACCGGCUAACUACGUG
rnacentral:rRNA from 1 species